CGGCGAGCUUCAUUGAAGGGGGAGCGCGGCGGGCGGCGAGGCGCUGGGAGUCGUGGGGAAGCUGAGGAUCAUGCCACGGAGGUCACAGGGCGCGAUGCCUGCAGCGACGCAGCCCCAGGAGAGCCCUGGGACUCCCUGCACAUUUUAGCCCCGCAGUGCGAGGUAUACGUGUGCGUGGGCCCGGCGGAGGGCACAGAGUGCUCUCCUCCGAAGACCUGCUUUGCCGUGGACGUGGUGGCAUCCCGCGUCGCUCGCGCCUCCCCCAGUAACGGCCUUCUCCCCGUCCCAGAGCGCCGUCCUGCCAGCCAGAAGCCUGAGGAGAGCUGGCCAAAGCACCGAAAAACUGACCCUCCCUGGGCAUCCACCCUGCCGCGCGCCCCCGCUGUCUCCCCGCCGGCCCGCAGCGACCUGCUGGGUGGCGGCGGGCACCUCUCUG
rnacentral:lncRNA from 1 species